GGCCUUCCCUGCCAUGCGACCUGUCAGUGUCUGGCAGUGGAGCCCCUGGGGGCUGCUGCUGUGCCUGCUGUGCAGUUCGUGCUUGGGGUCUCCGUCCCCUUCCACGGGCCCUGAGAAGAAGGCCGGGAGCCAGGGGCUUCGGUUCCGGCUGGCUGGCUUCCCCAGGAAGCCCUACGAGGGCCGCGUGGAGAUACAGCGAGCUGGUGAAUGGGGCACCAUCUGCGAUGAUGACUUCACGCUGCAGGCUGCCCACGUCCUCUGCCGGGAGCUGGGCUUCACAGAGGCCACAGGCUGGACCCACAGUGCCAAAUAUGGCCCUGGAACAGGCCGCAUCUGGCUGGACAACUUGAGCUGCAGUGGGACCGAGCAGAGUGUGACUGAAUGUGCCUCCCGGGGCUGGGGGAACAGUGACUGUACGCACGAUGAGGAUGCUGGGGUCAUCUGCAAAGACCAGCGCCUCCCUGGCUUCUCGGACUCCAAUGUCAUUGAGGUAGAGCAUCACCUGCAAGUGGAGGAGGUGCGAAUUCGACCCGCCGUUGGGUGGGGCAGACGACCCCUGCCCGUGACGGAGGGGCUGGUGGAAGUCAGGCUUCCUGACGGCUGGUCGCAAGUGUGCGACAAAGGCUGGAGCGCCCACAACAGCCACGUGGUCUGCGGGAUGCUGGGCUUCCCCAGCGAAAAGAGGGUCAACGCGGCCUUCUACAGAAAGUUGAGGAAGCGAGCGGCCAAGGUCUCAGCCCGACACCCCAAGCCCCUUGGAAG
rnacentral:sRNA from 1 species